rnacentral:rRNA from 1 species
AUGCACGCAGCUAGCACGCUCCUCCAUCCAUCGAUGAUGGAGCCACCCCACCCGAUUAAUCAAUCAUUCGCCAUUAAUCUCCAUCCAUCGUCGACACACAACCUUGUCACGCACGCACAGGCACAGUUAAUUAACUCGCCCCGCUCAGCUCUGUCCGUGUCCGUCGACUGUACAUCUCCGUCGCCAUCCGGCAACCCCCAUCCUGCUUCAUUUCUCGAUCUCUCCUCCUUGUGUCACUCUCCUACCUCCACCUCCUCCAUAGCUGCUGCCUCUAGCUAUAAAGGCUGGAGCUCUGUGUGCCAUGUGAGACCCCUCCUCUUCAUCGUCCUCCUAUACCCUCUAGCUUUCGCGCUCUGUCCGGCCGUCCUCCUCAUUCGGCUAAUGGGGUUCCCGGCGGUGUACUCGGAGAUGCCCAGGCUGCUGCUGAACCUCCUCUUCCUGCUGGGCCACCUGCGCCGCCUCUCCUCAUGGCUGCUCCGCCUCGUCGGCGCCGGCGUCGACGACGACCUCUGCUUCGACUACUCGGACGCCUCCGACUUCGCCGACCACCACCAGGAGCAAUACCAACACCAACACCAACACCGCGACCACGGCCUGGAGGAGCUGGAGGAGCACUCUCCGGCCGUGCGCUUCGACGCGCUCUCCGCUGCUUCCGACGGAGACGACGGCACGGCGCUGCUGCCGGAGGGCUGCGCGGUGUGCCUCGGCGACUUCCACGGCGCCGCCCGGGUGCGUCGGCCGCGCGGGUGCCGGCACGUCUUCCACCGCGGAUGCCUCGACCGCUGGGCCUCCCACGGCCACCACACCUGCCCGCUCUGCCGGGCGCCGCUCCUGCCGCCGGCGCCGGCGUCUCUGGGUCCCGUCCUCCUGCCCAUGCCGCUGCCGGCGUCGUGA